CACGUAGGGCGCAAGCGUUGUCCGGAAUUAUUGGGCGUAAAGAGCUCGUAGGCGGUCUGUUGCGUCCGCUGUGAAAACUCGGGGCUUAACCCCGAGCCUGCAGUGGAUACGGGCAGACUAGAGGUAGGUAGGGGAGAAUGGAAUUCCCGGUGUAGCGGUGAAAUGCGUAGAUAUCGUGAGGAAGACCGGUGGCGAAGGCGGAUCUCUGGACAGUUCCUGACGCUGAGGCGCGAAGGCCAGGGGAGCAAACGGG
rnacentral:rRNA from 1 species